GACGAACGCUGGCGGCGUGCUUAACACAUGCAAGUCGAACGGGAUUUAGUAGACAGGAGCCUCUGCUAAAGAUUCGUAUUGGGAAUGGCGAACGGGGGAAUAACCCGUGAACAACCUGCCUAUGACAGGGGGAUAUCCUCGGGAAACCGUAAUAAAUGCUGCUUCAUAACGUAUACACACAAGUUUCAAUGGUCACAGAUCUAUCGGUAAGAGAUUGGCGCUCGUCUGAUUAGGUGGUUGGUGAGAUAACAGACCACCAAGGAGACGAGCAGUAACCGGGCUGGGAGGAUGAACGGCAACAUUGGAGCUGGGACACGUUCCGAACUCCUACGGAAGGAAGCAAUGGGGAAUAUUGCACAAUGGGGGAAACCCUGAUGCAGCGACGUCGCGUGAACGAAGAAGGUAUUCGGAACGUAAAGUUCUGUCCUAUGGGAAGAUAAUGACAGUACCAUAGAAGAAAGCGCCGGCUAAAUACGUG
rnacentral:rRNA from 1 species